rnacentral:rRNA from 1 species
UGCUACAUGGAUAACUGUAGUAAUUCUAGAGCUAAUACAUGCCACUAUGCCCUGACCCGCAAGGGAACGGGUGGAUUUAUUAGAACAGAACCAACCGGGAGCGGCUUCGGUCGUUCCUGUUGCACUCUGUGAUGACUCUGGAUAACUUUACUGAUCGCAGUCGGCCUUGUGUCGGCGACGGAUCUUUCAAAUGUCUGCCCUAUCAACUUUCGAUGGUAGGUGAUCUGCCUACCAUGGUGAUAACGGGUAACGGGGAAUCAGGGUUCGAUUCCGGAGAGGGAGCCUGAGAAACGGCUACCACAUCCAAGGAAGGCAGCAGGCGCGAAAAUUACCCACUCCCGGCACGGGGAGGUAGUGACGAAAAAUACGAAUACGGGACUCACUCGAGGCUCCGUAAUUCGAAUGAGUACAAUCUAAAUCCUUUAACGAGGACCAAUUGGAGGGCAAGUCUGGUGCCAGCAGCCGCGGUAACUCCAGCUCCAAAAGCGUAUAUUAAAGUUGCUGCAGUUAAAAAGCUCGUAGUUGGAUCUGGGUCGUGCGAUCACAUGUCGUCUCUUGGUUCUGAUUUCGGUCAGUUCCAUGUGAUGGCAAAGUGGUUGUGCAGCCUUUCAGCCGUGUCUGCGUGAGCAGGUGUUGGUUGGCUGGUGAGCUUGCUCACUGGUUAGCUGGCAUGUUUCCUGAUGCCUUUAACCGGGU